rnacentral:rRNA from 1 species
UACGUAGGGUGCAAGCGUUGUCCGGAAUUAUUGGGCGUAAAGAGCUCGUAGGCGGUCUGUCGCGUCGGCUGUGAAAACCCGGAGCUCAACUCCGGGCCUGCAGUCGAUACGGGCAGACUGGAGUUCGGCAGGGGAGACUGGAAUUCCUGGUGUAGCGGUGAAAUGCGCAGAUAUCAGGAGGAACACCGGUGGCGAAGGCGGCACUCUGGGACGGUACUGACGCUGAGACGCGAAAGCGUGGGGAGCGAACAGG